AUGACACGAGGCGGGGUAAUGGAAGACCCGCAGUACGGAAUGACAACAAUGGAUCUCAACAAUCUUGCGUAUGUAGACGAACCAUUCGUCCUAGCCAAUGAUGUGGCACAGGUUUUCUAUGUGAAGGACAUGUCUACCAAGCCAAGAAAAAGAAAAGAUAAGGAAGCGAAUGCAUCGUACGAUGAGCCAAAGCGGCACAUAGUUCUUUCUGGGAAGAGAAACAUCGUGGGAGUGGAUGACAAGACAGACAAGUCAGAAGAUUAUGAAAAGUUUGAUGAAAUUGCUCCAUUCACAGUGAAUAUUGACCCGAGCAUCCCGUUAAAUGAUGAAGAUUUUCCAUGGUUACGGCGCAAAGGGACACACGCGAAGAAAAAGUUUCACACCCAAAGAUUUGGGAUGUGA
rnacentral:rRNA from 1 species